rnacentral:misc_RNA from 1 species
CUGAGUAAUUGGGUCUCUAAGGCCCAUACUCCCACCCUUUGUGUACCUUACCAAAGUUUUCCAAGUUGCCUUGGUAGGAAAAACCUACUUCUCACCCUUUUAUUAGGAGGUUGUAGGCCUACCAGGGGGACUCUUUUAAACUCUUUAUCAAUUGAGUCGUCUGAGAAAUAAAUUCAAAUGAAUU